GCGCUCGUGGUGGAAUUGGCAGACAUACCAGAUUCAAAAUCUGAGGCCGCAAGGCAUGAGGGUUCGAUUCCCUCCGAGCGCACCA
rnacentral:tRNA from 1 species